GAUUUGUUCUCAGUGAAUACUUCCAUUCCUGCUCUUCAUGUUCAGUUUCCAGUUACACUACCCUGUCUUUCCUUGUUCCUACAGCUAAAGCAACGUCUGUGGAGAUCUCCUUAGCGUAGAGCAGCUUGUUGCUGGGGGACUCCUGCAAGGACACGAAGGACACGUGAGAGGCGGGACGCCGGAGAGACGGCGGGGGGUGAGCGCACGGACCCGACUGAGUUUGUGCUCGGUCUUGGUGCAGGCGUCCAUGAAGGUCUGAGCGAUGACGUGCAGAGAUGCGUCCACUACCUCCGUCACGUGCACGUCGAAGAUGAAAUGAGGGUUCCUCAGGAUGUUCACCCAAAAGCGAAGCGGCAAACUGAGAUAUGCAGCGUCUCCUCGUCCACGUUGUCGUGUUUCAGCGCCUGCUCAUCCAGGAAGUCAAAAAAGUAUUUGACGGCAGGGGGGACGACAGCGCUUGAGCAUAGCACGCUGCGGAAGAAGUCAUCCACAAACUGCUGCAGUGUCCCCUGAAGACACACAAGACACACAGACGCAUUGCAUUGAGACAUGGCGGGACAUGGGGUGGGACAUGGGGGCGGAGGUACCUUGACAGAGAGCAGUCUCGUCAGGUAGAUCUCAGUGAUGGCUUUGGUCAUGGACUUGUCCUUCAUGCUGCCUCGUUUGGACUUCACCUCGUCCAGCUCGUCUGCCGGUCUCACCAGGUGGAAGGUGUUGUCGUCCUCCAGCAGUGCGUUACCUGGCAACCACACACCAUGACAUCAGGUACGUGCACGUGUGAGCAUGUGUGCAUGUGUGUGUGCACGCAUACGCUCUUCAUAGCUGUCCUGGUGCUGAUGGAAGGACUGGGUGUGCAACACUUUGGACAGAACCAGCGUGGCGUUGUCCCGCACCUGGCCCAGCAGAGAGAGUCACAUGAUGUUAUGACGUCAUCACCAGGAGGUCACAUGGUGCUCAUGAUCAUAUUUACGUUGUAAUGCGCCAAAGUGUUGAGUCUCUUCCAGCGUCCUUCUUUCUGCGAGGUCAGGUCCACAUCGGACAAAAUCUGACCCGUGGAUCCGGGACGCCAUUCUGGCUCAAGCAGAACCGUCGGACAUGGACAGAAUCAAUCAGUCAUUUCCUAUCAUCCCUCACUUCCUGCUUCCUGUUUCACAGCUUCAGUCUGCCACCGUUUAUGAACAAUAAAUCCUCGUCGUUCAUGGUGUGUAUUUGUAUUUGUACUUUAUUUAUCCCACAGCGGGGAAAUUGACUUGUUACAGCAGCAAGCAAGCAAGAUACGCAAGUAAAGAGUACAUAGUGACUGCAACAUGGUGGAAUGUUAUCAGUGCUGAAAGACGCAUAGUUACGUAGAAUCAAGUCAGUCAAGCCAAAUCCUAAUAAACGGCAUUCAGAGGAUGGAGUCACUAGGUGUCUGUAAUGUUACAUCGACGAGACAGUAGCCACCACAGGAAGUACUGCACAGAAACCAGAAGUAAAACAAGAACAACAGGAAACUGUCCCAAAGCUAAUGUGUGAGUCUUAUUUAUGGCUAAUGUGUCUUAUUUUCUCUUAUUCUGUCUACUAUAUUGGGUAAUAGGAGUGUAAAGGUGACUAUGGGGGUGUUACUUCAUGUCUAGAGGGCUCUAAUCAUGUUAAAAAGAUUAUUUAGAAGGUGGUAAACAGGCUUUCUUUCCACUAACUAUCAAAAUAUUCCAUUUAUUAAUAAGAAAUUUGACUUUGCGGUGUGCGUGUGCGUUU